AUGACCGACAUGGGCACUCUCCACUACUUCCUCGGGAUCGCGGUCACCCGCGACUCCUUCGACAUGCACCUCUCGCAAGCCAAGUACGCCGGGGAAAUUCUAGACAGGCCCGGCAUGACUGCUUGCAAGUCCGCCACAACACCGGUCAACACGUCGCCAAAGUUCGCUGCCACCGCCGGCCCUCCCGUGGUCGAUCCCACUAAGUACUGGAGUCUCGUCGAGGUUCUGCAGUACCUCACCUUCACGCGACUCGACAUCGCGUAUGCCGUUCAACAGGCAUGUCUUCGCAUGCACGACCCUCGUGAGCAGCACCUUGCGGCCAUCAAGCGCAUCUUGCGCUCCGUCAAGGGCAUGCUCUCAUGGACUCCAGCUCUACUCAUCUUCACCGGACUCCAUGGUCACCUACACUGA
rnacentral:rRNA from 1 species